AACGAACGCUGGCGGCAUGCCUAACACAUGCAAGUCGAACGAGACCUUCGGGUCUAGUGGCGCACGGGUGCGUAACGCGUGGGAACCUGCCCUUAGGUUCGGAAUACUCCCCGCAAGGGGUGCUAAUACCGGAUAAUGUCUUCGGACCAAAGAUUUAUCGCCUUUGGAUGGGCCCGCGUUGGAUUAGCUAGUUGGUAGGGUAAAAGCCUACCAAGGCGACGAUCCAUAGCUGGUCUGAGAGGAUGAUCAGCCACACUGGGACUGAGACACGGCCCAGACUCCUACGGGAGGCAGCAGUGGGGAAUAUUGGACAAUGGGCGAAAGCCUGAUCCAGCAAUGCCGCGUGAGUGAUGAAGGCCUUAGGGUUGUAAAGCUCUUUUACCCGGGAUGAUAAUGACAGUACCGGGAGAAUAAGCUCCGGCUAACUCCGUG
rnacentral:rRNA from 1 species